ACUCAAAGGAAUUGACGGGGGCCCGCACAAGCGGUGGAGCAUGUGGAUUAAUACGUCACUAACCGUAGAACCUUACCCAGGCUUGACAUCCUCGGAACCUUGCUGAAAGGCAGGGGUGCCCCGCAAGGGGAGCCGAGAGACAGGUGUUGCAUGGCUGUCGUCAGCUCGUGUCGUGAGAUGUUGGGUUAAGUCCCGCAACGAGCGCAACCCUCACCGCAUGUUGCCAGCGUCAAGUCGGGCACUCUUGCGGAACUGCCCGGGUAACCGGGAGGAAGGUGAGGAUGACGUCAAGUCAGCAUGGCCCUUACGCCUGGGGCUUCACACAUGCUACAAUGGCCGGUACAAAGGGUUCCAAAGUCGCGAGGCGGAGGCAAUCCCAAAAAGCCGGUCUCAGUUCGGAUCGCAGGCUGCAACUCGCCUGCGUGAAGUCGGAAUCGCUAGUAACCGCCGGUCAGCUAAACGGCGGUGAAUACGUUCCCGGGCCUUGUACACACCGCCCGU
rnacentral:rRNA from 1 species